GGUCCCAUGGUCACUCCUCUCUCUCACGCACUCAUUCACUCAGUCUCUCUCUCACCACACUCACGAUUCUCUCACUCACACACACCUCUUCUCCUGAGUUCUGACCACCACCGAUCCAGUCCACCACCACCAGCCGACGCACCACCGCCACCGGCCACCAGCCCACCACAAUCCUUCUCUGCUCACUACCUUCUCUCUCUCUCACGCUGUCACUCAAGGCACCACCCACUCUCUCUCUCAAGCACAAGCCACACCAGUGACACCACGCCACCAGUCCACCACCACCGGCGGCCACAACGCCACCACCCACUCAGCCACUCUCUCUCUCUGUUGAAGCUUGAAGGUGCUGUUUUUUUGCUGCAUAAUUUGCUGCAUAAGGAUGUCAUUGGUUUUUAUGGAUGGUUGAUAUUGGUGGCUGAUUUUGGAUGUUUUUGUGGCAAUGGAGUGUACCAGAAUUUGGGAGAUUCAUUUUUGCUGGCUUUGGGAUAUCUUGUGCUCCUUGAUAAGUCGUUAUUGCUGUGUUUUAAUUUACAUUUGGUAUGCUGAGGGCUUUAAUUUACAGUUAUUUUUAAUUUAUUUUUAUCGAUGUGCUCAUUUGAAAAAUUUGACCCCCCUGACCCCGGGUCCUGGAUCCGCCACUGACCACACCCAAAUUAGACAUGAUGGAAGAACAAUUUCUCUCCAAUGGUGUGAGACACUAGUGAGAGAGUCUCUUUAGUGUGAGACACUCCCAUUGGAGAUGCUCUAAAAUAUCUACACUUCAUUUUUUACAAUUCUCCAUAGUGUCACAUCAUCUAUAUCACUUUACUAACUUUUUACUCCAACCCAACAACUCUUAAGAGUUUCUAUAGUGGAUCCCACAAAAAACAUCACAUUCGUAUAUUUUAUUGUUUAUCUCUAAUUAUAUUAAUUGUAAGUGUUUGUAAUAAAUACUAGCUCACUUUUCAAGUCUAGUUUGGAGUAUCUAUUCUCAGCUACUCAUCUUUGUCA